CGAGGGGUAGAGGAAGCUUGCUUCCUUGAGACCGGCGCACGGGUGCGUAACGCGUAUGCAAUCUACCUUUUACAGAGGGAUAGCCCAGAGAAAUUUGGAUUAAUACCUCAUAGUAUAAUGACUCGGCAUCGAGAUAUUAUUAAAGUCACAACGGUAAAAGAUGAGCAUGCGUCCCAUUAGCUAGUUGGUGUGGUAACGGCACACCAAGGCAACGAUGGGUAGGGGCCCUGAGAGGGAGAUCCCCCACACUGGUACUGAGACACGGACCAGACUCCUACGGGAGGCAGCAGUGAGGAAUAUUGGUCAAUGGGCGCAAGCCUGAACCAGCCAUGCCGCGUGCAGGAUGACGGUCCUAUGGAUUGUAAACUGCUUUUGUACAGGAAGAAACACUCCCUCGUGAGGGAGCUUGACGGUACUGUAAGAAUAAGGAUCGGCUAACUCCGUGCCAGCAGCCGCGGUAAUACGGAGGAUCCAAGCGUUAUCCGGAAUCAUUGGGUUUAAAGGGUCCGUAGGCGGGUUUAUAAGUCAGUGGUGAAAGCCCAUCGCUCAACGAUGGAACGGCCAUUGAUACUGUAGAUCUUGAAUUAUUAGGAAGUAACUAGAAUAUGUAGUGUAGCGGUGAAAUGCUUAGAGAUUACAUGGAAUACCGAUUGCGAAGGCAGGUUACUACUAAUGGAUUGACGUUGAUGGGCGAAAGCGU
rnacentral:rRNA from 1 species